GUGAAGCUGAUGUCCAAGUCAACGAAGCUGACGUCUGAAGGUAGAGGUCCUUGAUGCUGAAUCUGUCUUGGACCUGAGAAACUUUUCCCUCUCGAGAGUCGCUGGAAACCUGUUAUCAGAACCACAAGAAGAAGAACAGUUGUGUUUCAGGUUUUCCCGCUCUUACCAAGAAGACGUUGCUCUGGAUGCUGGAAUGCCCUGAAACUGCACCACUUUGUGAUGACAUCAAACAUCAGAGAAACUACAUCCAAGGUGCAUUGGGCCUAUUUAGAAUGUAUUAGGCUGUUAAAUGAGAAAAAAAAGGUUAUAUGGGCAAUUCCAUGCUGGUGGAGACACCAGACCAAAAAAUAAAUUUACCAAGUUUGAUUUGCUGAAGUGACACAAUAUCUUGGCGUUUUUUAAAACUGAAAUAGUUUCUUCCCAUGCGCGCACUAUUUUGUGAGUUACGGUACACCAUCACAUCAAAGUCUGCAAUGACGUCAUGAUGA